rnacentral:rRNA from 1 species
GAGUGGCGAACGGGUGAGUAACACGUGAGUAACCUGCCCUUGACUUUGGGAUAACUUCAGGAAACUGGGGCUAAUACCGGAUAGGAGCUCCUGCUGCAUGGUGGGGGUUGGAAAGUUUCGGCGGUUGGGGAUGGACUCGCGGCUUAUCAGCUUGUUGGUGGGGUAGUGGCUUACCAAGGCUUUGACGGGUAGCCGGCCUGAGAGGGUGACCGGCCACAUUGGGACUGAGAUACGGCCCAGACUCCUACGGGAGGCAGCAGUGGGGAAUAUUGCACAAUGGGCGGAAGCCUGAUGCAGCAACGCCGCGUGCGGGAUGACGGCCUUCGGGUUGUAAACCGCUUUCGCCUGUGACGAAGCGUGAGUGACGGUAAUGGGUAAAGAAGCACCGGCUAACUACGUGCCAGCAGCCGCGGUGAUACGUAGGGUGCGAGCGUUGUCCGGAUUUAUUGGGCGUAAAGGGCUCGUAGGUGGUUGAUCGCGUCGGAAGUGUAAUCUUGGGGCUUAACCCUGAGCGUGCUUUCGAUACGGGUUGACUUGAGGAAGGUAGGGGAGAAUGGAAUUCCUGGUGGAGCGGUGGAAUGCGCAGAUAUCAGGAGGAACACCAGUGGCGAAGGCGGUUCUCUGGGCCUUUCCUGACGCUGAGGAGCGAAAGCGUGGGGAGCGAACAGGCUUAGAUACCCUGGUAGUCCACGCUGUAAACGGUGGGUACUAGGUGUGGGGUCCAUUCCACGGGUUCCGUGCCGUAGCUAACGCUUUAAGUACCCCGCCUGGGGAGUACGGGCCGCAAGGCUAAAACUCAAAGGAAUUGACGGGGCCCCGCACAAGCGGCGGAGCAUGCGGAUUAAUUCGAUGCAACGCGUAGAACCUUACCUGGGUUUGACAUGGAUCGGGAGCGCUCAGAGAUGGGUGUGCCUCUUUUGGGGUCGGUUCACAGGUGGUGCAUGGCUGUCGUCAGCUCGUGUCGUGAGAUGUUGGGUUAAGUCCCGCAACGAGCGCAACCCUUGUUCACUGUUGCCAGCACGUUAUGGUGGGGACUCAGUGGAGACCGCCGGGGUCAACUCGGAGGAAGGUGGGGAUGACGUCAAGUCAUCAUGCCCCUUAUGUCCAGGGCUUCACGCAUGCUACAAUGGCUGGUACAGAGAGUGGCGAGCCUGUGAGGGUGAGCGAAUCUCGGAAAGCCGGUCUCAGUUCGGAUUGGGGUCUG